rnacentral:misc_RNA from 1 species
GAUGAAGAACGCAGCGAAAUGCGAUACGUAAUGUGAAUUGCAGAAUUCAGUGAAUCAUCGAGUCUUUGAACGCACAUUGCGCCCCCUGGUAUUCCGGGGGGCAUGCCUGUCCGAGCGUCAUUGCUGCCCUCAAGCACGGCUUGUGUGUUGGGCCUCCGUCCUCCUCCCGGGGGACGGGCCCGAAAGGCAGCGGCGGCACCGCGUCCGGUCCUCGAGCGUAUGGGGCUUCGUCACCCGCUCUUGUAGGCCCGGCCGGCGCUUGCCGACACAUCAAUCUUUUUUCCAGGUUGACCUCCGAUCAGGUAGGGAUACCCGCUGAACUUAAGCAUAUCAAUAAGCGGAGGA